UACGAAGGGGGCUAGCGUUGCUCGGAAUCACUGGGCGUAAAGGGCGCGUAGGCGGCCAUUCAAGUCGGGGGGUGAAAGCCUGUGGCUCAACCACAGAAUUGCCUUCGAUACUGUUUGGCUUGAGACCGGAAGAGGUCAGUGGAACUGCGAGUGUAGAGGUGAAAUUCGUAGAUAUUCGCAAGAACACCAGUGGCGAAGGCGGCUGACUGGUCCGGUUC
rnacentral:rRNA from 1 species